rnacentral:rRNA from 1 species
UACGGGGGGGGGCAAGCGUUGUCCGGAAUUAUUGGGCGUAAAGAGCUCGUAGGCGGUUUGUCGCGUCGAAUGUGAAAACCCGGGGCUCAACCCCGGGCCUGCAUUCGAUACGGGCAGACUAGAGUUCGGUAGGGGAGUCUGGAAUUCCUGGUGUAGCGGUGAAAUGCGCAGAUAUCAGGAGGAACACCAGUGGCGAAGGCGACUCUUUGGCCUGUAACUGACGCUGAGGCGCGAAAGCGUGGGGAGCAAACAGG